GUUGGGGUAUUUUAAUGAAAAAGCAAAAUUUGCAAUUUUGUAUUGAGUAUGUACUCUCUCAACU
rnacentral:tRNA from 1 species